GUGUACAGUGUGUGUGUGUGUGGGGGGGGGGUGUUCAUCCAUGUACCACCAACACUAAUGGUUCCCCUAUGAACAGCCACGUGGCCUGCUCCCCGCUCCUCUUUAACAUUCAGGUCACCAUAUACUGCCCAUUUAGUGAGAACGAAAGUUUUCAGCAUUCAAAAGAUCCUGAUAAGUUCAGUUGGUCCGCAUGUCAUUUGAAAUGUCUGGAAAUUUUCAUAAUGGAACAGAAGUUGGCAUUUUUUAUAUGAUACACUUCAGAAAAACUUAUGCCCUAAAACAUAAGACCAGACUUGUGCUAUGCAGAUUUGUGCUUCAUUUUUCAAAACACUCAAUGUGCAUAUUUCAUUGUUCCCCCAAGAAACAAAGCUAUACUGGUUCACAAUGGUUGAUUAUUUAUGUGUUGAUAUCAGCUGAAUAUUUCAAUUUCCUUAUUUGUUUCUUGUGUCUAGGCAAGCUUUAUACCGCCGCUGAAGUGAAAGCCACUUUUGUAAUCCAACAUAACUGCAGUUACAUUUAAAGAGUGUUGUAGUCGAGACCAUCGGAAGACCAGACACAAGACUAGACUCAAGACCAUGCACGAGACCAGUCACAAAUAAGAGGGUGAACAGUGACAAAGGAAUCUUUUGUUGCGGUUCAUUUGAUAACUUGUGACUUAAAUUCAGACUGGAGGUCUUGUGUUGGUCUUGUACUGGUCUUGAGUGGUCUUGUAAAGGUCUGAAGUGGUCUUAACUACAACACUGCAUGUAGAUCAGAUGCACGGCUAUGAUCCACACUGAAGGAACCUGCUGUACGACAAAGGAAAGAAAUUGACAGACACUUUAUUGUGACGGGGUAGUUUUAUUCAUCCGAUCGAUUUGAAACUUGGUAACCUUAAGAUAUUUAUGUGAGUUCGAGCCUUAUGGACGAACAUGUGGCCAUCUCAGUGGUUGGGCUAGUACCGCACUGUCCAGUUACCAUCCGAUCGCAUGUCACAGAGAUCACCAAGCGAUUUCAUGCCUGGGCACACCUCAUUGCCGAUGGGGACGGUAUAAUUUCUCUGGAUAAGGACCCCUCAAUUAGUGGCACCUACACAGGUACUGAACCCAUGGGUCUAUUCUGGAGUCUACAACCCUGUCCGGGUCAACGACCAGGUAUCCGUUUUGCGAAAAAGUACCCCCACAAACCAGUGGUGGUACUUCUUUCCCUGCAUCAAGGCCACCUUGGCGAAGGUCAGUUAGCCACAAAUGAGCCACUCCAUGUAGCUGUGGUGCACAAGUGGUACAUGCGAGAAGCUGAUGUGGAGCGUAUCAAGCUGAGAGGCCAUGAUGUUGUACGUGGGGUCAUUUACAAACCAAAAGGUUCGUUUAAUUUCCAAUUUCCAAAGCUUAAUCAGAACACAUUGUUUUUGAAUAGAUCUCAAACAGAAUGACGUCACUCUUUGUUUACAUGUGUGCUUUCCUAUCAUGGGCUCAAUGGAUUGCGUCCCACCUCACUGCCUGAUACUGAUAACAAUGAACACACCAACUCAUUGCACUGUCAUUUGGGUUCGUAUAUUUAAAAUUGACACGUUGGGCCAAAUAGUGGGUUUUGUACAGAGUUCACUUUCUGUGUUCCUUUCACUGGUGGAUUUAUUUGACUUUCACAAGAUGCAGCCAGAUGCAGAAUUGGGGCAAAAAUGGGCUUACAUUGGCAGUGUUAUACGUACAUGUUGUAAAUAUUGGAACCAAAUUAUGUUUUGUCACCCUUGUUGACCUAAUUUGUGUUUUCGUUUUGAAAGAGCAAUGAUAAGAUGAUGCACAACAUUCGUUCUUUACAAGUGUGUGGGUCGGGUCUACUACUGAACACCCACCCAAAUGACCCACAGUUUGCAUGUUUCCCUAGUACCAUUAUGCACUUAACUUUGAUCUCGAUCAACUGCUAGUGCACCCUCAUCUAUGUGUACCACACUACACUGCGGCGUGCCUGCCAAAUUUAUUCUUCUUAUAAGGAAGCGCUUUGGCGUUGGACCAAAAGUGGGGAAGGCAAGAGGGCAACAGGUCACUUGGGUACGCAAUCUCUAGCAGACCCGAACCACACAUUUGUAGGGAAGGAGUCUACUACGCUCAACCUAUACCCAAAUUUGCAAAAAAAUACCAAAAAAACACCGUACCCCGCGGGAGAAGUUUUGGCGAGGAAGCACUAUUCUUCAAUACAAAAGAUAAAACACGUGUAUCACGCUAGCCUCCAGCCAACUCCCAUAGGACUGUGUGCUAAGUGGCCCCUUGUGUACAAUCUAAUAGAUUAUUUA
rnacentral:lncRNA from 1 species